rnacentral:rRNA from 1 species
AUGAACGCUAGCUACAGGCUUAACACAUGCAAGUCGAGGGGCAGCAUUUUAGUUUGCUUGCAAACUAAAGAUGGCGACCGGCGCACGGGUGAGUAACACGUAUCCAACCUGCCGAUAACUCGGGGAUAGCCUUUCGAAAGAAAGAUUAAUAUCCGAUAGUAUAUUAAAACCGCAUGGUUUUACUAUUAAAGAAUUUCGGUUAUCGAUGGGGAUGCGUUCCAUUAGUUUGUUGGCGGGGUAACGGCCCACCAAGACUACGAUGGAUAGGGGUUCUGAGAGGAAGGUCCCCCACAUUGGAACUGAGACACGGUCCAAACUCCUACGGGAGGCAGCAGUGAGGAAUAUUGGUCAAUGGACGAGAGUCUGAACCAGCCAAGUAGCGUGAAGGAUGACUGCCCUAUGGGUUGUAAACUUCUUUUAUAUGGGAAUAAAGUAUUCCACGUGUGGGAUUUUGUAUGUACCAUAUGAAUAAGGAUCGGCUAACUCCGUGCCAGCAGCCGCGGUAAUACGGAGGAUCCGAGCGUUAUCCGGAUUUAUUGGGUUUAAAGGGAGCGUAGGUGGAUUGUUAAGUCAGUUGUGAAAGUUUGCGGCUCAACCGUAAAAUUGCAGUUGAAACUGGCAGUCUUGAGUACAGUAGAGGUGGGCGGAAUUCGUGGUGUAGCGGUGAAAUGCUUAGAUAUCACGAAGAACUCCGAUUGCGAAGGCAGCUCACUAGACUGCAACUGACACUGAUGCUCGAAAGUGUGGGUAUCAAACAGGAUUAGAUACCCUGGUAGUCCACACAGUAAACGAUGAAUACUCGCUGUUUGCGAUAUACAGUAAGCGGCCAAGCGAAAGCAUUAAGUAUUCCACCUGGGGAGUACGCCGGCAACGGUGAAACUCAAAGGAAUUGACGGGGGCCCGCACAAGCGGAGGAACAUGUGGUUUAAUUCGAUGAUACGCGAGGAACCUUACCCGGGCUUAAAUUGCAUUUGAAUAAUCUGGAAACAGGUUAGCCGCAAGGCAAAUGUGAAGGUGCUGCAUGGUUGUCGUCAGCUCGUGCCGUGAGGUGUCGGCUUAAGUGCCAUAACGAGCGCAACCCUUAUCUUUAGUUACUAACAGGUUAUGCUGAGGACUCUAGAGAGACUGCCGUCGUAAGAUGUGAGGAAGGUGGGGAUGACGUCAAAUCAGCACGGCCCUUACGUCCGGGGCUACACACGUGUUACAAUGGGGGGUACAGAAGGCAGCUACCUGGCGACAGGAUGCUAAUCCCAAAAACCUCUCUCAGUUAGGAUCGAAGUCUGCAACCCGACUUCGUGAAGCUGGAUUCGCUAGUAAUCGCGCAUCAGCCAUGGCGCGGUGAAUACGUUCCCGGGCCUUGUACACACCGCCCGUCAAGCCAUGAAAGCCGGGGGUACCUGAAGUACGUAACCGCAAGGAGCGUCCUAGGGUAAAACUGGUAAUUGGGGCU